rnacentral:rRNA from 1 species
AGUCGAACGAUGAAGCCCAGCUUGCUGGGUGGAUUAGUGGCGAACGGGUGAGUAACACGUGGGUGAUCUGCCCUGCACUCUGGGAUAAGCCUGGGAAACUGGGUCUAAUACCGGAUAGGACCUUCGGCCGCAUGGCUGGGGGUGGAAAGUUUUUCGGUGCAGGAUGAGCCCGCGGCCUAUCAGCUUGUUGGUGGGGUAAUGGCCUACCAAGGCGACGACGGGUAGCCGGCCUGAGAGGGCGACCGGCCACACUGGGACUGAGACACGGCCCAGACUCCUACGGGAGGCAGCAGUGGGGAAUAUUGCACAAUGGGCGCAAGCCUGAUGCAGCGACGCCGCGUGAGGGAUGACGGCCUUCGGGUUGUAAACCUCUUUCACCCAUGACGAAGCGCAAGUGACGGUAGUGGGAGAAGAAGCACCGGCCAACUACGUGCCAGCAGCCGCGGUAAUACGUAGGGUGCGAGCGUUGUCCGGAAUUACUGGGCGUAAAGAGCUCGUAGGCGGUUUGUCGCGUCGUCUGUGAAAACCCGCAGCUCAACUGCGGGCUUGCAGGCGAUACGGGCAGACUCGAGUACUGCAGGGGAGACUGGAAUUCCUGGUGUAGCGGUGAAAUGCGCAGAUAUCAGGAGGAACACCGGUGGCGAAGGCGGGUCUCUGGGCAGUAACUGACGCUGAGGAGCGAAAGCGUGGGUAGCGAACAGGAUUAGAUACCCUGGUAGUCCACGCCGUAAACGGUGGGCGCUAGGUGUGGGUUUCCUUCCACGGGAUCCGUGCCGUAGCCAACGCAUUAAGCGCCCCGCCUGGGGAGUACGGCCGCAAGGCUAAAACUCAAAGGAAUUGACGGGGGCCCGCACAAGCGGCGGAGCAUGUGGAUUAAUUCGAUGCAACGCGAAGAACCUUACCUGGGUUUGACAUGUACCGGACGACUGCAGAGAUGUGGUUUCCCUUGUGGCCGGUAGACAGGUGGUGCAUGGCUGUCGUCAGCUCCUGUCCUGAGAUGUUGGGUUAAGUCCCGCAACGAGCGCAACCCUUGUCCUGUGUUGCCAGCACGUAAUGGUGGGGACUCGCAGGAAACUGCCGGGGUCAACUCGGA